rnacentral:ncRNA from 1 species
UUGCAUGUACGGUUCUUAGAGGGGGAAAGUUCGAGAGGACCUACCUAUCUCGACUAUUUAAUUCGAUAAUCCGCGAAUAAUCUUACCACAAUUUGUAUAAUAUUUAUUUAUUACAAGCGUUGCACGGCUGUCUUUAGUUAAUGUCGUGAGAUAUGGUUAAUUCCUUUAAUUAACGCAAACCCCAACUUUAUUUAUAUUAUAUAAAGUAAUUCGCCAAAAAAAUGGUUAGAUAAUAGGGAUUAAGACAAGUCAUCAUGACCAAAAUAUUGUGGGCUAUAGACGUGCUGCAUAUUCCUUAACAAAAGAAAGCUAGAUUGAAAAAUGGAGCUAAUUCUUAAAUAAGGUUAUAAUAUGAAUUAUUGUCUGUAAUUCGACAAUAUGAAUUAGGAAUUACUAGUAAUCGUGAAUCACCACGUCACGGUGAAUUUUUAAUCAGUUAGGUACUAACCACUCGUCAGGCGCUGAAAAAAGUAUAUACAUUAAGUUUGAUCUAUUUUUCUAUACAUAAUCUCUAUCUUUAUUUAGAUUUAUAGUAUUUUCGUAUGUAUGACUUUAAUUGGUGUUAAGUCGUAAUAAGGUUCGUGUAAUGGAAAUUGCACGGG